CACGUAGGGACCAAGCGUUGUCCGGAUUUAUUGGGCGUAAAGAGCUCGUAGGCGGUUUGGUAAGUCGGGUGUGAAACCUCCAGGCUCAACCUGGUGACGCCACCCGAUACUGCUAUGACUUGAGUUCGGUAGGGGAGCGGGGAAUUCCUGGUGUAGCGGUGAAAUGCGCAGAUAUCAGGAGGAACACCGGUGGCGAAGGCGCCGCUCUGGGCCGAAACUGACGCUGAGGAGCGAAAGCGUGGGGAGCGAACAGG
rnacentral:rRNA from 1 species